UACGUAGGUGGCAAGCGUUGUCCGGAAUUAUUGGGCGUAAAGCGCGCGCAGGCGGUCCUUUAAGUCUGAUGUGAAAGCCCACGGCUCAACCGUGGAGGGUCAUUGGAAACUGGGGGACUUGAGUGCAGAAGAGGAAAGCGGAAUUCCACGUGUAGCGGUGAAAUGCGUAGAGAUGUGGAGGAACACUGGUGGCGAAGGCGGCUUUCUGGUCUGUAACUGACGCUGAGGCGCGAAAGCGUGGGGAGCAAACAGG
rnacentral:rRNA from 1 species